GGCACAAGCGGUGGAGCAUGUGGUUUAAUUCGAUGAUACGCGAGGAACCUUACCUGGGCUCAAAUGUAUGUUGACGUAUUCUGAAAGGGAUACUUCUUCGGACAAUAUACAAGGUGCUGCAUGGUUGUCGUCAGCUCGUGCCGUGAGGUGUCGGGUUAAGUCCCAUAACGAGCGCAACCCCUAUCAUUAGUUGCCAUCAGGUCAAGCUGGGGACUCUAAUGAAACUGCCUACGCAAGUGGUGAGGAAGGUGGGGAUGACGUCAAAUCAGCACGGCCCUUACGUCCAGGGCUACACACGUGCUACAAUGGCCGAUACAGAGGGCAGCUACCUGGUGACAGGAUGCAAAUCUCCAAAGUCGGUCUCAGUUCGGAUCGGAGUCUGCAACCCGACUCCGUGAAGUUGGAUUCGCUAGUAAUCGCGCAUCAGCCAUGGCGCGGUGAAUACGUUCCCGGGCCUU
rnacentral:rRNA from 1 species